GUCGAUUUAGCUUAAUUGGUAGAGCUUUUGAUUUGUAAUCAAAAAGUUAUAGGUUCGAAUCCUAUAAUCGACA
rnacentral:tRNA from 1 species